rnacentral:rRNA from 1 species
UACGUAGGGUGCGAGCGUUAAUCGGAAUUACUGAGCGUAAAGCGUGCGCAGGCGGUGAUGUAAGACAGAUGUGAAAUCCCCGGGCUCAACCUGGGAACUGCAUUUGUGACUGCAUCGCUGGAGUGCGGCAGAGGGGGAUGGAAUUCCGCGUGUAGCAGUGAAAUGCGUAGAUAUGCGGAGGAACACCGAUGGCGAAGGGCAAUCCCCUGGGCCUGCACUGACGCUCAUGCACGAAGCGUGGGGAGCAACAGG